UACGGAGGGUGCAAGCGUUAUCCGGAUUCACUGGGUUUAAAGGGUGCGUAGGUGGCUUGGUAAGUCAGUGGUGAAAGCCCGGAGCUCAACUCCGGAACUGCCAUUGAUACUGCUUAGCUUGAAUCAGGUCGAGGUGGAUGGAAUAUUACAUGUAGCGGUGAAAUGCUUAGAUAUGUAAUAGAACACCGAUUGCGAAGGCAGUUCACUAGGCCUGUAUUGACACUGAGGCACGAAAGCGUGGGGAUCAAACAGG
rnacentral:rRNA from 1 species